rnacentral:rRNA from 1 species
UACGUAGGGUGCGAGCGUUAAUCGGAAUUACUGGGCGUAAAGCGUGCGCAGGCGGUUUUGUAAGCCAGAUGUGAAAGCCCCGGGCUUAACCUGGGAAAUGGCAUUUGGGACUGCAAGGCUUGAGUGCGGCAGAGGAGACUGGAAUUCCUGGUGUAGCAGUGAAAUGCGUUAGAUAUCAGGAGGAAUACCGAUGGCGAAGGCAGGUCUCUGGCUGACGAC